UUAAGCAUAUCAAUAAGCGGAGGAAAAGAAACCAACAGGGAUUGCCCUAGUAACGGCGAGUGAAGCGGCAACAGCUCAAAUUUGAAAUCUGGCUUCGGCCCGAGUUGUAAUUUGCAGAGGAAGCUUUAGGCGCGGCACCAUCUGAGUCCCCUGGAACGGGGCGCCACAGAGGGUGAGAGCCCCGUAUAGAUGGACGCCUAGCCUGUGUAAAGCUCCUUCGACGAGUCGAGUAGUUUGGGAAUGCUGCUCAAAAUGGGAGGUAAAUUUCUUCUAAAGCUAAAUAUUGGCCAGAGACCGAUAGCGCACAAGUAGAGUGAUCGAAAGAUGAAAAGCACUUUGAAAAGAGGGUUAAAUAGCACGUGAAAUUGUUGAAAGGGAAGCGCUUGUGACCAGACUUGCGCCGGGCGGAUCAUCCGGUGUUCUCACCGGUGCACUCCGCCCGGCUCAGGCCAGCAUCGGUUCUCGCGGGGGGAUAAAGGCCCUGGGAACGUAGCUCCUCCGGGAGUGUUAUAGCCCAGGGUGUAAUGCCCUCGCGGGGACCGAGGUUCGCGCAUCUGCAAGGAUGCUGGCGUAAUGGUCAUCAGCGACCCGUCUUGAAACACGGACCAAGGAGUCAAGGUUUUGCGCGAGUGUUUGGGUGUAAAACCCGCACGCGUAAUGAAAGUGAACGUAGGUGAGAGCUUCGGCGCAUCAUCGACCGAUCCUGAUGUUUUCGGAUGGAUUUGAGUAGGAGCGUUAAGCCUUGGACCCGAAAGAUGGUGAACUAUGCUUGGAUAGGGUGAAGCCAGAGGAAACUCUGGUGGAGGCUCGCAGCGGUUCUGACGUGCAAAUCGAUCGUCAAAUCUGAGCAUGGGGGCGAAAGACUAAUCGAACCAUCUAGUAGCUGGUUACCGCCGAA
rnacentral:rRNA from 1 species